UUAAUUACCUUAUAAAACAGCCAUUAUACUGCGAGAAAAUAUGUUUCUAUUUUCUUGCUGUCACCUCAUGGUCAAGCUAAAGUUUUGCAAUGAGGCAAAAAAUAAUUAAAAUGUUUUGAAAUGAAAAAUUCAUACAAAUUCAAAAGAUGACAGGCAGACUACAGUCACUCAAUGUCUCCACCCUCCAUUACUGCUUUUCCGCUACAGGGUGUUGGGGAGCCUGUAACUGGGAACUGUGAAUGUUUGCGCUGAAACUGGGCACUGUGUGUGUGUAUGUGUGUGCGCUGAAACUGGGCACUGUGUGUGUGUAUGUGUGUGUGCGCUGUAACAGGGCACUGUAACAAACACUGGUUUGUUACCAGAUGUCUGCAAUUAUACUCCUGUCCUCUAAGGGUAAGUAUAAUUUCCUAGAGGAUUAUAAGGAGCAAGAGCCUUCUUGAGGCUCAGAAUAAAGGAAGUAAGUCCUUAUUUGAGGAACGGGAAGCGUUCAUGGCUCAAUAAAGGACUUUUUUUUCCCCUGAUUUACUUGCAACUGCCAAACUUCUCUUUCCGGCUUCACAUCCUACCAUUGUUUGGGCCAUCCUCACUUGGAAGAGGACGUUUGGUCUCCACUUUGGACUUUGCUAUUCAUUUCAGUUGUAUGGUUAUCCAUCUCAACACCAGUUUUCUUGAGUUAUUGUUAAUUCAUUAUUUACAUGUACAUUUGCAGGGGUAAUAUGCUCACCUUUGUUAGUAAAUAUUCUUUGGUCUGUGAA